UAAGCGACUAAGCGUACACGGUGGAUGCCCUGGCAGUCAGAGGCGAUGAAGGACGUGCUAAUCUGCGAUAAGCGUCGGUGAGGUGAUAUGAACCGUUAUAACCGGCGAUUUCCGAAUGGGGAAACCCAGUGUGUUUCGACACACUAUCAUUAACUGAAUCCAUAGGUUAAUGAGGCGAACCGGGGGAACUGAAACAUCUAAGUACCCCGAGGAAAAGAAAUCAACCGAGAUUCCCCCAGUAGCGGCGAGCGAACGGGGAGGAGCCCAGAGCCUGAAUCAGUGUGUGUGUUAGUGGAAGCGUCUGGAAAGGCGCGCGAUACAGGGUGACAGCCCCGUACACAAAAAUGCACAUAUUGUGAGCUCGAUGAGUAGGGCGGGACACGUGGUAUCCUGUCUGAAUAUGGGGGACCAUCCUCCAAGGCUAAAUACUCCUGACUGACCGAUAGUGAACCAGUACCGUGAGGGAAAGGCGAAAAGAACCCCGGCGAGGGGAGUGAAAAAGAACCUGAAACCGUGUACGUACAAGCAGUGGGAGCCUCUUAAUGGGGUGACUGCGUACCUUUUGUAUAAUGGGUCAGCGACUUAUAUUCUGUAGCAAGGUUAACCGAAUAGGGGAGCCGAAGGGAAACCGAGUCUUAACUGGGCGUUAAGUUGCAGGGUAUAGACCCGAAACCCGGUGAUCUAGCCAUGGGCAGGUUGAAGGUUGGGUAACACUAACUGGAGGACCGAACCGACUAAUGUUGAAAAUUAGCGGAUGACUUGUGGCUGGGGGUGAAAGGCCAAUCAAACCGGGAGAUAGCUGGUUCUCCCCGAAAGCUAUUUAGGUAGCGCCUCGUGAAUUCAUCUCCGGGGGUAGAGCACUGUUUCGGCAAGGGGGUCAUCCCGACUUACCAACCCGAUGCAAACUGCGAAUACCGGAGAAUGUUAUCACGGGAGACACACGGCGGGUGCUAACGUCCGUCGUGAAGAGGGAAACAACCCAGACCGCCAGCUAAGGUCCCAAAGUCAUGGUUAAGUGGGAAACGAUGUGGGAAGGCCCAGACAGCCAGGAUGUUGGCUUAGAAGCAGCCAUCAUUUAAAGAAAGCGUAAUAGCUCACUGGUCGAGUCGGCCUGCGCGGAAGAUGUAACGGGGCUAAACCAUGCACCGAAGCUGCGGCAGCGACACUAUGUGUUGUUGGGUAGGGGAGCGUUCUGUAAGCCUGUGAAGGUGUACUGUGAGGUAUGCUGGAGGUAUCAGAAGUGCGAAUGCUGACAUAAGUAACGAUAAAGCGGGUGAAAAGCCCGCUCGCCGGAAGACCAAGGGUUCCUGUCCAACGUUAAUCGGGGCAGGGUGAGUCGACCCCUAAGGCGAGGCCGAAAGGCGUAGUCGAUGGGAAACAGGUUAAUAUUCCUGUACUUGGUGUUACUGCGAAGGGGGGACGGAGAAGGCUAUGUUGGCCGGGCGACGGUUGUCCCGGUUUAAGCGUGUAGGCUGGUUUUCCAGGCAAAUCCGGAAAAUCAAGGCUGAGGCGUGAUGACGAGGCACUACGGUGCUGAAGCGACAAAUGCCCUGCUUCCAGGAAAAGCCUCUAAGCAUCAGGUAACAUCAAAUCGUACCCCAAACCGACACAGGUGGUCAGGUAGAGAAUACCAAGGCGCUUGAGAGAACUCGGGUGAAGGAACUAGGCAAAAUGGUGCCGUAACUUCGGGAGAAGGCACGCUGAUAUGUAGGUGAAGCGACUUGCUCGUGGAGCUGAAAUCAGUCGAAGAUACCAGCUGGCUGCAACUGUUUAUUAAAACACAGCACUGUGCAAACACGAAAGUGGACGUAUACGGUGUGACGCCUGCCCGGUGCCGGAAGGUUAAUUGAUGGGGUUAGCGGUAACGCGAAGCUCUUGAUCGAAGCCCCGGUAAACGGCGGCCGUAACUAUAACGGUCCUAAGGUAGCGAAAUUCCUUGUCGGGUAAGUUCCGACCUGCACGAAUGGCGUAAUGAUGGCCAGGCUGUCUCCACCCGAGACUCAGUGAAAUUGAACUCGCUGUGAAGAUGCAGUGUACCCGCGGCAAGACGGAAAGACCCCGUGAACCUUUACUAUAGCUUGACACUGAACAUUGAGCCUUGAUGUGUAGGAUAGGUGGGAGGCUUUGAAGUGUGGACGCCAGUCUGCAUGGAGCCGACCUUGAAAUACCACCCUUUAAUGUUUGAUGUUCUAACGUGGGCCCCUUACCGGGGUUGCGGACAGUGUCUGGUGGGUAGUUUGACUGGGGCGGUCUCCUCCUAAAGAGUAACGGAGGAGCACGAAGGUUGGCUAAUCCUGGUCGGACAUCAGGAGGUUAGUGCAAUGGCAUAAGCCAGCUUGACUGCGAGCGUGACGGCGCGAGCAGGUGCGAAAGCAGGUCAUAGUGAUCCGGUGGUUCUGAAUGGAAGGGCCAUCGCUCAACGGAUAAAAGGUACUCCGGGGAUAACAGGCUGAUACCGCCCAAGAGUUCAUAUCGACGGCGGUGUUUGGCACCUCGAUGUCGGCUCAUCACAUCCUGGGGCUGAAGUAGGUCCCAAGGGUAUGGCUGUUCGCCAUUUAAAGUGGUACGCGAGCUGGGUUUAGAACGUCGUGAGACAGUUCGGUCCCUAUCUGCCGUGGGCGCUGGAGAACUGAGGGGGGCUGCUCCUAGUACGAGAGGACCGGAGUGGACGCAUCACUGGUGUUCGGGUUGUCAUGCCAAUGGCACUGCCCGGUAGCUAAAUGCGGAAGAGAUAAGUGCUGAAAGCAUCUAAGCACGAAACUUGCCCCGAGAUGAGUUCUCCCUGACUCCUUGAGAGUCCUGAAGGAACGUUGAAGACGACGACGUUGAUAGGCCGGGUGUGUAAGCGCAGCGAUGCGUUGAGCUAACCGGUACUAAUGAACCGUGAGGCUUAACCU
rnacentral:rRNA from 1 species